rnacentral:rRNA from 1 species
GGCUACACACGUGCUACAAUGGCAUAUACAAAGAGAAGCGACCUCGCGAGAGCAAGCGGACCUCAUAAAGUAUGUCGUAGUCCGGAUUGGAGUCUGCAACUCGACUCCAUGAAGUCGGAAUCGCUAGUAAUCGUAGAUCAGAAUGCUACGGUGAAUACGUUCCCGGGCCUUGUACACACCGCCCGUCACACCAUGGGAGUGGGUUGCAAAAGAAGUAGGUAGCUUAACCUUCG